rnacentral:lncRNA from 1 species
UUUUUUCCUACUUAUUUCUCCAACUCAAAUUCUCCCCCAUUCUGAAACAAGACCCAUCUCUGAUAUCAGCAGUGCCUCAGUCUUCAAGUCUUCAUUUGGACACGGUCUUCUCUUCUUCAGGGACACAGCGUAAGAGAUACAGCAGAGCUUUUCUUCUGGGGCCUGAACUGUGUGAAUCACAGCAGCAGAUGGGGAACAUUAGGGGUGGAGGGGCAGAGGUUGGAGGUCCGUUCCAGCAUGGAGCCUGAUGCGGGGUUGAUCUCACAACACUGAGAUCAUGACCAGAGCUGAAAUCAAGAGUCAGACACUUGACUGAUUGAGUCACCCAGGUGCCCCUCAAUAUCAAUAUUUAUAAUUCAUUUAAAUGCAGGGAUUUCCUUCUAUUUUAAAUCUAGAAUCUAUUGUUACUUUUAUCAUGGCUAUUUACAACUAAUUGUGGAAUACAAUAACUUGCCCC